ensembl:snRNA U6 U6 spliceosomal RNA
GUGUUUGCUUCGAAACAUAUACUAAAAAUGGAAUGAUACAGGGAAACAGGUUAGCAUGGACCCUGUACAAGGAUGGCAUGCAAAUUUGAGCGGUCCACAUUAAA